CAGCAGUCGCCGCGGUAAAACGAAGGGUGCAAGCGUUAAUCGGAAUUACUGGGCGUAAAGCGUGCGUAGGCGGUUUGUUAAGUCUGCUGUGAAAUCCCCGGGCUCAACCUGGGAACUGCAUUUGUGACUGGCGAGCUAGAGUAUGGCAGAGGGUGGUAGAAUUCCACGUGUAGCAGUGAAAUGCGUAGAGAUGUGGAGGAAUACCGAUGGCGAAGGCAGCCCCCUGGGCCAAUACUGACGCUCAUGCACGAAAGCGUGGGGAGCAAACAGGAUUAGAUACCCGCGUAGUCCCUGUCUCUUAUAC
rnacentral:rRNA from 1 species